rnacentral:piRNA from 1 species
UGGGAUUUGAUGCUGGUUACAGGAGGUGGA